rnacentral:rRNA from 1 species
UACGGGGGGGGCAAGCGUUGUUCGGAAUUACUGGGCGUAAAGGGCUCGUAGGUGGCCAACUAAGUCAGACGUGAAAGCCCCCGGCUUAACCGGGGAGGGUCGUUGGGGACGGCGGGGCUUGAGGGCGGGAGAGGGUGGUGGAAUUCCCGGUGUAGUGGUGAAAUGCGUAGAGAUCGGGAGGAACACCCGUGGCGAAGGCGGCCACCUGGGCCGACCCUGACGCUGAGGCGCGAAGGCGUGGGGAGCGAACGGG